rnacentral:lncRNA from 1 species
UUUUUUGAAAAUUUAAAAUUCUACACUUUUGACCAAGUUCAGAGGCAAAAAUAUCGGCUACCACGGUAUUAAACAAAAAUAUAAAAUUCAUUCUCUGAUGAAUCUAAUAACAUUGACUUGAUAUCAUGAAUUUUAAUAUAUUUUUCUACAAAUUUAAUCAGAUUUAAAGAGGUUUAACUUUUCAAAAAAGUAAUACAUCAUAUAUUUUGAAACAGAAUGAUUAAAGAAAUUUUAAAAUCUCAACAAAUUGAACGGUGCAGCAAAGCGCGCCCAACCCUUGAGUUACUACUAAUGCUCCUUAUAUGGCAGCGACGUAUAGGCUAUCUAGGUGACAUGGUCAUCUCUACUGCGAUUCGACGGAAGGCGGCGCGCUGCUGCUUGAUUCAUCCUUGAAUCGGCCGAAGAUGGGCUCGGCGAGCAUGGAGCUGACCUUGUUCUUGAUGCACGCCCAGUGCUCGGUCACCGGCGCCUCCGUGAAUUGCCGGUACUGGUCCUUGGCCAGGUCCACCCACCUCGCGUCCUCGCCCACCGUCCUCUUGAAGCACGACGACGCUGGAGCCGUCACGGCCUCCUUCUCCGGCACCGCCGCUGCCGCUCCAUUGUUCUCCAUCAGGUCCCGAAAACUGAGAUCGGUUGGUCGAAAACUUGUGUGCUUGAAUAUGAAGAAGAUGCUGCUGCCUGUGUUGCUAUGGUGGCCAGGGCUUCGCGGGGUCGUGCGUGCCUACUUAUAUGGACGGGGUCGAUCAUGAGGCGCUGUCUGUCUUGAGGAGGAAGCUGGAGGUGUCGCAGCCUUGGAGUAUGGGAAAGGAA